UACAGUGGUCAUAGCAUAAAGUAUACCUGAUACCAUUCCGAACUCAGUAGUCAAGCUUUAUUGCGCCGAAAAUACCUGAAAAGGGAAGAUAGGUCGCCGCUUUUU
rfam:Mycoplasma agassizii strain ATCC 700616 genome assembly, contig: EI84DRAFT_scaffold00006.6